rnacentral:rRNA from 1 species
UACGUAGGUGGCAAGCGUUGUCCGGAUUUAUUGGGUUUAAAGGGUGCGUAGGCGGCCCUGUAAGUCAGUGCUGAAAUAUCCCGGCUUAACCGGGAGGGUGGCAUUGAUACUGCAGGGCCUUGAAUGAAGUUGAAGUGGGCGGAAUUGACGGUGUAGCGGUGAAAUGCUUAGAUAUCGUCAAGAACACCGAUAGUGAAGACAGCUCACUAAGCUUAUAUUGACGCUGAGGCACGAAAGUGUGGGGAUACAAACAGGGAUUAAGA